rnacentral:rRNA from 1 species
UAGUCCACGCGGUAAACGAUGGGCACUAGUUGUUGGGGGUGUUGACCCCUCCAGCGACGGAGCUAACGCAUUAAGUGCCCCGCCUGGGGAGUACGGUCGCAAGAUUAAAACUCAAAGGAAUUGACGGGGGCCCGCACAAGCGGUGGAUUAUGUGGUUUAAUUCGAAGCAACGCGCAGAACCUUACCUGGGCUUGAAAUCCCGCGAAUCCUCUAGAGAUAGAGGAGUACCUGUUAAAGGGGAUGCGGUGACAGGCGCUGCAUGGCUGUCGUCAGCUCGUGUUGUGAAAUGUUGGGUUAAGUCUCGCAACGAGCGCAACCCCUAUUAUUAGUUGCCAGCAUUAAGUUGGGCACUCUAAUGAGACUGCCUGGGUUAACCAGGAGGAAGGUGGGGAUGACGUCAAGUCCUCAUGGCCCUUAUGUCCAGGGCUACACACGUAAUACAAUGGUCAGUACAAAGGGAAGCGAACCAGCGAUGGGGAGCAAAUCUCAAAAAGCUGAUCUCAGUCCGGAUUGG